GCUGAAUCUUUGAUGUUGUGGGCCUGUUUUUCUGCCAGAUGUCUUGGACGUUUUGUUCUGAUACACAGCAUCAUGGAUUCUAUCAAAUACCAACGGAUAAAAAAACCAAACUGACCGACUCUGGCCCAAAAAAUCGUAUAAUGGGCCAUGGUUGGAUCUGGUUAAGACAGUGAUUAAAAACAAGCAUCAACACAAAAAUGGGUCUCAUCCCAAUCCCCUGAUCUGAACUGAAAAGGACAGUGCACCAACAUUGACCUGGGAAUUUGAAGGGUCUAGAGAUUCUGUAAAGAGUGCUCUCUGAUCUCUUGUCAGGUGUUCUCCAAAUCCAUCAGGAAUUACCUAUAAUGAUAACGUACUCUUGUUAUCUUGGCAAAGGGAGGUUGCAAAAAGUAUUGAAUAAAAGUGUGCCAUUAAUUGUGGCCAAUAUGUAUUUAGAGUAACAUGUAUUACAUAAUGAGACUUUCAAUUGUUUUACUUCAAUGAAAGGUUCAAUUUUUUUGUGAAUUAUUUGAAUAAAAGGUCAAAAGGA